rnacentral:rRNA from 1 species
UGGGUAGUCCGCACGAGCGCACCUUACUUUUAGUUGCUACCAUUUAGUUGGGCACUCUAAAAGAACUGCCAGUGAUAAGCUGGAGGAAGGUGGGGAUGACGUCAAGUCCUCAUGGCCCUUAUGUGUUGGGCUACACACGUGCUACAAUGGUAUUUACAGUGGGAUGCAAAGAGGCAACUCCAAGCCAACCCCUCAAAGAAUACCUCAGUUCGGAUUGUACUCUGCAACUCGAGUACAUGAAGCUGGAAUUACUAGUAAUCGCGGAUCAGCGUGCCGCGGUGAAUACGUUCCCGGGUCUUGUACACACCGCCCGUCACACCAUGGAAGUUGGUUACACCUUAAGGCAAAGUGUAAAACCUUUGACUACGGUACGAUCAGCGACUGGGGUGAAGUCGUAACAAGGUAGCCGUAGGGGAACCUGCGGCUGGAUCACCUCCUUUCU